UUGCCUUUGUAUGCUGGGAGGACCAAGCCGGAGGUUCCCACUAUGAGCCCGGAGUCUGUGCAGCCAGAUGACACAGGAGAGAAAGUUCAGUCUGCACUGAAGAACUGCUUCCCGCUUCAGGAGUGGUUUUAGAGAAAAAUGGGACUUGAAAUCAUUGGACUUUUACAGAUGAGGAAACAGCAGACCCAGCAGCAUACCAGUACCAUCAUUUAGCUCCGCUGAUGCAGUCUCCUCACCAGCCAGGG